UACAUAGCAAGUCCGAGCGAACAGACGAGGAGCUUGCUCCUUUGACGUUAGCGGCGGACGGGUGAGUAACACGUGGGUAACCUACCUAUAAGACUGGGAUAACUUCGGGAAACCGGAGCUAAUACCGGAUAAUAUUUCGAACCGCAUGGUUCGAUAGUGAAAGAUGGCUCUGCUAUCACUUAUAGAUGGACCUGCGCCGUAUUAGCUAGUUGGUAAGGUAACGGCUUACCAAGGCAACGAUACGUAGCCGACCUGAGAGGGUGAUCGGCCACACUGGAACUGAGACACGGUCCAGACUCCUACGGGAGGCAGCAGUAGGGAAUCUUCCGCAAUGGGCGAAAGCCUGACGGAGCAACGCCGCGUGAGUGAUGAAGGUCUUCGGAUCGUAAAACUCUGUUAUUAGGGAAGAACACACACG
rnacentral:rRNA from 1 species